rnacentral:rRNA from 1 species
GACAGAGGGUGCAAACGUUGUUCGGAAUUACUGGGCGUAAAGCGCGUGUAGGCGGCUAUGCAAGUCGGGCGUGAAAUCCCACGGCUCAACCGUGGAAGUGCACCCGAAACUGCGUAGCUAGAGUCCUGGAGAGGAAGGUGGAAUGCUUGGUGUAGAGGUGAAAUUCGUAGAUAUCAAGCGGAACACCGGUGGCGAAGGCGGCCUUAGCUGGACAGUCGUACGUGACGCUG